GAUGAACGCUGGCGGCGUGCCUAAUACACGCAAGUCGAGCGAACGGACGAGAAGCUUGCUUCUCUGAUGUUAGCGGCGGACGGGUGAGUGACACGUGGAUAACCUACCUAUAAGACUGGGAUAACUUCGGGAAACCGGAGCUAAUACCGGAUAAUAUUUUGAACCGCAUGGUCCAAAAGUGAAAGACGGUCUUGCUGUCACUUAUAGAUGGAUCCGCGCUGCAUUAGCUAGUUGGUAAGGUAACGGCUUACCAAGGCAACGAUGCAUAGCCGACCUGAGAGGGUGAUCGGCCACACUGGAACUGAGACACGGUCCAGACUCCUACGGGAGGCAGCAGUAGGGAAUCUUCCGCAAUGGGCGAAAGCCUGACGGAGCAACGCCGCGUGAGUGAUGAAGGUCUUCGGAUCGUAAAACUCUGUUAUUAGGGAAGAACAUAUGUGUAAGUAACUGUGCACAUCUUGACGGUACCUAAUCAGAAAGCCACGGCUAACUACGUG
rnacentral:rRNA from 1 species